UUCAGUUACACAUGAACACACACAUUCAUUUUCAUAUUUUUUCACCAUUAGUUACUACAAGAUACUGAAUAUAGUUCCCUGAUAGAGGACUUUGAGUCAGCGCAGCAGAGUGGAGCCAGGGCUGCGCCUCCCAACGUCUCUUUCUCCCUCACCCUUCCCAAGGCUCAGUAGCUCCGACUGUGGUCACACCUCCUACAUUUCACUUUUUCCCCUUUUCAUUUCAGAAGGAACAACAUUCCCUGGAAUAAAUGAGCAAGAAGUAAAUACGAAAACUCCAUCAUGCCACCAAUUAACAGCUGUCAGUCUUUGUUUCCAGUCUUUUUUCUAUGACUAUAUAAAUGUUUAAGUACAAAGAUAGAAGUGUUUUUUUGUUUCUCUCUCCAUUCACAUGACAAGGUGUUGUGAAUGUUCACCUUUUGUCUAGUGGUCCCCCUACAAGAGAACUGUUCACAGUGGUUUCUUGCUCCAGCUGGUUGGCUGGUGGUGGCCAGUCACCCUGUUCCCCUCUGGGGGGACAUGCGGUUUUUAUGAUUGUCCAGUCUUUUCAGUGUUGUAGUAACCCAUCAGAUCUCUGGACUAGCCUGUGAAUAUUUCUGGAGGACAAAUCCCAGAAAUUUAAUUGCUAGGUUAAUUACAGGAUUUUUUUUUUAUUUCCAGGAUUUUGAAAUGGCAACGCUGUUGGAUUCCUUGAGAAGUAGAAUUUGCAGCUGGAGAUGAGGCAGUGAGUGGGCUACCUGCUGGCUUCCUGUCCAGACCCCAGACUCUCAAGCCUGGUUUUGCAGCAUUUGAGUGUUUUUCAGUUUUCGUGAAAAUCUCUUUAUGAAAAGGCUCUUGAAAUGUUCUCUCAUCUGGAAGUCUCCGUUUUUGUAAGAAGCCUGUGGGAAUGUUGACAUCAUGGUUACGCCCCAGUGGUGGAAACUGGGUGGGGAAGGAGCUGUAUUUCUUCAACAUAAGUAUUAUUUAAAAUUUUUUUUCUUGUGUAACACAUAUGAAGGAUGUGUAUCUUAACUGUGCCCAUGAUGUAUUUUUACAUAUAAACACACCCAUGGAACCAGCCCCCAGGCCCAGGUGCACAUGCCCCACAUCCUGGAAGGCCCCCUGCACCACGCCUUUGUAUCACGCAGGGCCUGCUGUGGGCAGUGCUGGGGGACAGCCAAGAAGGCAAAACCACGGUCUGCCCUGCUGCUUAGGGGAACAGAAAUGUUGUCACAGUCUUCCUGCUGGUGCCAGGACAAGCCCCUUCCGGAGCCCAGGCCCGUCGUGGACCAGUCGUGGGGUCGGCUGCCCAGUGGGUUGGGGGCAGGGUCUCAGUGCCUCCCUCCUGCUGCAGGGGGUCGGAGCCGUGGGGAGCUGAAAGGAAGUUGUAGAGCCGUGUCAGGGGGCGUCCUGUCCCCACUUCACCUCCUGCGCCACCUCUCUGAGCCUCAGUUUUCCCAUCAGCAAAAUACUAAAGAUAGUUAAGUGAGCUACUACAUGGAAAUAUCUCAUAGUCCUACGUUGCAAGCAUCUAAGGAAAAUGAGGCACAGAAGAGGUAAAACGGCUAAGGCCCUACAGCCAGUUAGAGGCAGAGCUGGGAUAGGAACCUAGAGCCCGCUGCUCCUGUGAGGUAACUUACAGUAAGAAGCAUCUCACAGGUUUUAGGGGGGCUUCUGGCUCACAAACAAGUGUUUGUGACAGUGACAAGCCAUUGUGGCUUCAGCAACAUCUGUUUAUCCUAACGAGCCGUCCAGCCAUCAUCUGCCCUAAAGCCUGGGGCGCCCUGGGACUGACGCCCUCUGGGGCUCUGGCUACUUGUGUUCCAGCACAGAGCGUAUUUUUUUGCUUUUACUUUCUACUUUUUUGCUGUAAAAGGCAGCUGACAUCUAACUUGCUCCUGAAGUGCCAGUGCUGGGCCAGGCCCCUCACGUUCGUCUUAGCUGUGGAAUCGUCCCAGCCACCAGGGAGGGGGCUUCGUCUCCAGGCUGUAGUGUUGGGGUGAAGCUCAGAGAGGGCGAAGGUGAAAACACCUUCCAGGCUUUGACUUGAGUCUGUCUUGGCCAUCAAGGGAAUUGCCAAAGUCUUCUGGCUCGUGCGCCGGCCACCCUAGGUCGCCCUGGCCACUAUCGGUCUCCGGGCGACACGGGUUUCCUCCAGAUGAAGUGAUGUCUUAGGACUGAUGGGUUCCUCUGGGAGGCAUUCGUGGGGUUCAGAGUGUGGCCAAAGGGGGAUGUGUCCACCACGUCUUGUCUCUCUGCUUAGGUCGAGAUGCGGUCAGCAGCCCUCCACCCGGUGCCACCGUGGGCAGUUGCCACCCGCUAGUGGAAAGUGGAAACAAGCAUGUCUUUGAGCCUGAAGGACACAUUUUGGUGUUUGCUUCAACCCGUGGUGUGAAGAUAACGUGAAACUCAGCCCCUCGUGGAGACCUGGCAGGACCUCCCCACAGGCCAGGCAGCUUCCUGUGACAGGCCUGCCCAUACCCGGGGAGCAGAUGAUGACCCCACGUGCACGUGUGCUCUGGCUUCGGAGGAUGCGGCUUUCAUGGCGGAUGAGGCGGAGUGGAAUGACUACUUCAUGCUCGACAACGCGGGCUCCCGUUCCAUGUGUUGUACUGACUCUGUCCAAGAAAAGACCGGGAACUGUGGCCAGCUGCCUCUCGCACACGGACCCCGCCAGCCAAGCCACUUCUCGGCACUUGCGUCUUCAGGGACACCCCGCACUUCCCUUUGACAGGCACCAAGUUCUCCGUGGAAAGCCUGGGCGUCUCGCCGCUGCAGACUGUUGACCAAGGGAUGGUGAAGCAAGGUGAGACUAUCAGAUUCCAAAUAAAAGGUACCCAAGAAAUUUAUCAAGUUUAGUUCCAAUCAGGGGACAAAGAGGUUCCUGCUGAGAAGACUAUUCUCAACCCCAGCUAGCCUCUGCCUGAUGCUGCGGAAAGAGGCAGGAGCUCUGACUGGCUCUGAGCCUUGACUGAGCAUUUCCUGAUUUGGAAUUAGCUUUCAGAUCAGACGCCCAGCCUGGGCCACAGAACCCCACAACCCUGCCUUGAGUCAUGGCCUCAGGGAGCAGGCCACGCUGUCUGCAGCCAGAACUAAAGGCAUCCAUGGCCACAGGUCCUUCCCUGGAGCCAUAGGCCAUCGGAAGCCCAGAGCUCCCCGCCCCGUGAGAAGAUACCUGCUCUUCAGCUCCGGGCACGUCUGCCUGGGAAGCACCUGCCCCGUGGCGUCUUCCCGCAGCGGGGCUGGGGCUGCUCUGUUGUCUGCUUGGAGUCCACGGGCUUGCGCUCCCAGAUGCCCCACCCCAUCCCUCCUUGCCCCCUGAGUCCCGGCAGGUGGACGGGGCCUUUCCCUCGGACCUCUGCACUCACCGAGCCCAGGCCUGCCUACCAAACCAGAAGCAGGACUGAGAGCCACGUGGUGUCUGUCCACCUUUGACUUUUGACAACUUCAGACAACUUGAAACUGCGGCACCUUAAACCCAACUUCAUGGCCUUUACGGCUCCCCAGGGCUGGGUGAACUGUUGUGGUACCGGCAGGUCAGUAGGAGUUCCUAGUCUUUGUGUUCGACUCCCCAGCCCCUUGGUGGUGGCGGAUGACCCAGUGGCUCCCCUGCUUGGUGUUGGUAAGUUAAAGUCAUGAGACUUCAUGGGGUUCAGUGUGGGGAGGGAGGCAGAUGAUGACCAGCCCCGCCUCUCCUCGCGAGGGGGCCCCGCACCCCUGCUCCCUCCACCUGGUCCCUGAACCUUCUCCAAGGAAGCCCACAGCCUCCUUCACCUCGGUCCCACCCAGGCAUUUCAGUCACAUGUGAAAAAGACCCCCGACCCCCAGGCAGCGUUGGGAGAGAGCAUCCCUUGCACACAGGCCAGCCAGCCUGAGCCCCUGGACUUGAGCCUCCCUGUGCAGGAACGCCUUCCCUUAGGACCCACCUUGGCUGUGGCCCUAGACCGGUCUGUGACUUGGCCGAGCCUGUUGCUUCAACUCCUCCCUCUCCUCCAUUUCAGCCCCUCUCAUGGCCAAGGAUGUAAGACAUCCCUCUGUACCGCCCACCCUCCCCACCCCCAGGAACAGAGCUGCCUGUGCGACCCUGCGGGCCUCACUCAGGGUGCAGGCCCACCAGAGGGGUCCUGACUUUGACCAGUCUGAGGAGAAGGGUCCUCAACAAGGGGCCCCUUUCUGACCACUGCGGUGAAGAUAUCCCCAGGGGUGCCCCACUUAAAGCCUUCCGCCUUGCCCACCCCCUCACCUCACCUGUCCUGACGGCCCCAAGGGCUGGCCUGGAAGCAGCUCAGGGACCUGCUGGCGAUGACCCCAGCCCGCAGCACCCCCUCCCUUCGAGCAGGGGUUUGUUCCUGGGAGUGGUUGUCAUCCUAGAGCAGGCACCUCCUUGUGCCAACGGGAAGCCCUUUCCUGUGCCGCCCUCCUGAGACAUGUUCAAAUGACCAAUAUGCUUUUAAUUAGUCAUUUUGAAGCCACAGAAUGUGUGGUCCCCUGGGUCACUUUUUUCCUGUGAGCAAGCUGCUUUGUGUCUUCUGCUGGGAUCAUGUGGGAACAUCCGGGGCCGUCUGAUCAUCUGACUUCCUAGGGCAGAGGACUCUCGGAGGGGUCGACUUCUUUGUUCUGGCCCCUGUGCAGGACACCUACUCCUCCCAUGGCUAUAACUCCAACUGGACACCCUCUGGCAGAGGUACUGUGGGGCUAAAUGAGGGGUAUUUUGUGCGUAAUUUAUGACAGUAAGAGGUGGGGGGCCUGGGCGCUCAAGUCAAAAACCUUCAAUGCUGGGCACUCUUGGCCCAAAUGUCAACAGUAGGUGCUCAAUAAAUGCUCAUUACAGGAAGGUGCAUUUUCCUCCUGCUGGAGAUCUCACAAGAUGAUCCAGAGCCAAGGGUGAAGCUGGUAAGUCUGUGCUGUGUGACACUCACCUGCCUCCCAGGCCAGAAAUGGUAGAGAAGAGGCUUCCUUAGAGUUGUCCCCUCGCUGACCUGAGAGGGGGCGCUGCCCCCGGGGCUGGCCUGGGCCUCUGGACAGGAGACUCCAGUGACCGAGGCGGAAUUGAGCUUUUUAUUCAAAGAGGCAGAGGCUUGUGCCCAGUUCCCCUGCCUGCAGCCCUCGUCCUGUGCUGCUGUCAGCUGCAGUGCUGUCUGGGGCUGAGCAGAAUGUUACGCUGUCCACAGUGGCCGUGGUGACACAGCUGUGGCACUGGCAGGACCCGAGGCUCAGGGGUGGGCAGGUUGUCCCCAGCCAGCCCGGCUGGGGCCAGGCCCCACCCUCCCAGGACGCGGUCUGACCUGGCUGAGGUCCAGAGCGGACGGACCCGCCCACCAAUCUGAACACAGGCCUGACUUUGGGGCUGGUGGGCACCGCCAUUCUCAGGCCAGGCUGGCCAGAGGAACACGGGUUUCAAAUCCAUCAUGCAAGGAAAUUUCUCAAGGGCCUUGUGGGUAGCACACACCUCUGACCUCAGGCUUGCACACAGCAGAGACUGCGGUUCGCAGUGGCCAGCAAACCCUCUUCCCUGAGUCUAACCACAGCCUCCUCGGGGACUCAAGGGCUUAGCAUCCUUUCCUCACUGAUGUGGAGUCUGGUGUACAGUCCAUCAGGCCUGCCUUCUGGGCGAGGAAACACAGCCGGCCUCCAAGGCCAGGCCACGCCCAGACUGAGUUAAUGGGCUGCAGAGCCACUCAGCCUUACAUUGUCAGUAA